CCAUAAUUUCUCAUUCCUCAUCUUUAUUGUUAACCCUAAGAGGGCAACUGGGUAAAGGUAAAAUCAAACAAAUAUAUGAAUCUCUUACUCCUCUUCGGAAUUUCAAUAAGAAGAAGAUUCACUAAAGUUUUGGAUUUAGAAUUUUUUUUAAAUUCUCUUAAUUUUUCAUCUCAUAUUCAUCGAUUUAGAGUUUAGCUCUUCCGUGUGUAAGUCUGGAAGAUACUAUUGUUACUUUGUUGAGUGAAAGAUGGCAGAUUUCCACCAAAGAUUGGUUCCUUGCCUCCAUUUUUAUUAUAUGAUUUACUUGAGCCAUAGUCUAUCAGAAACAAUCUCUCUACCUUCCCAAGGUAAGGUUAAGUAUGCAUACACACCAUCCUCCCUAGACCCACUUCUACUUCUGGGAUUGCAUUGGUAUGUCAUUGUUGUUGUUUGCCUCCUUUGUUUGAUUCAGGGUUGGGGGAAGGCUAGCUAAACUAUAUACUUCUAAUUUUACUAUGUUACUAUCAAUACAUAUGGUUAUACCUUUUUAAUUUUU